rnacentral:rRNA from 1 species
UACAUGGGGUGCAAACGUUGCUCGGAAUUAUUGGGCGUAAAGCGCACGUAGGCGGUUCGUUAAGUCGGAUGUGAAAGCCCUCGGCUCAACUGAGGAAGUGCACCCGAAACUGGCGAGCUUGAGUACGAAAGAGGAUCGCGGAAUUCCCGGUGUAGAGGUGAAAUUCGUAGAUAUUGGGAAGAACACCGGUGGCGAAGGCGGCGACCUGGUCCUUUACUGACGCUGAGGCGCGAAAGCGUGGGGAGCAAACAGG